rnacentral:rRNA from 1 species
AUUGAACGCUGGCGGCAGGCCUAACACAUGCAAGUCGAGCGGAGCGGCGGACGGGUGAGUAAUGCCUAGGAAUCUGCCUGGUAGUGGGGGAUAACUACUGGAAACGGUGGCUAAUACCGCAUACUAUCGGAUGAACCCAUAUGGGAUUAGCUAGUAGGUGGGGUAAAGGCUCACCUAGGCGACGAUCUCUAGCUGGUCUGAGAGGAUGAUCAGCCACAUUGGAACUGAGACACGGUCCAAACUCCUACGGGAGGCAGCAGUGAGGAAUAUUGGGCAAUGGACGGAAGUCUGAACCAGCCAAGUAGCGUGCAGGAUGACGGCCUAUGGGUUGUAAACUGCUUUUGUAUGGGGAUAGGUACCAUAUGAAUAAGGACCGGCUAAUUCCGUGCCAGCAGCCGCGGUAAUAC